GGAAUGUCCCUUUAAGGAAGUUCAAAUAACGGACUAAAUAAAUAAAAGAAAACAUAACUAGAAAUCCCAUUGGGUUAACCUCCACUGGCCAACUUUGAUGGGAUUCGAGAGGCAACUUUUAUUCACAACCUUCUACUGUUUAGGAUCUAGAUCUUGAUCUUCCUGAUCUGAAAUGGUUAAAUAUGGGGGAUGAGCUACACUACCCCAAUAAGAAUAUCACACUUAACACUGAUACAAAAAACCAAAGGUUGAUAAAACUUGUCAAAUAACUAAUGGAGCCAUUAUUUCUUUUUAAAUAGAUUCGUUUAAGUUAAAAACUAUUAUUUCAUACUUACCCUUAUGUGUUUCCAAAAUUGACCUAUGAAGAUAAUAAUCCAAAUAGCAUUUUUAUUUCACACUUAAGAACAAUAGCAAGAAACUUACCUCCUUACCUACUUACCACUACUUCUGGGGUCCAUAGGGAUAUCCCCCUACACGUGAACCCAAUAUCUAAUUUUUAAUCAACCGGUCGUCCUCAUAUCCCAUCCGAAUGAAUGUUCGUCUAUGGCAGGUCCUUCUCGUCCCUAUAAUUCUCAACGAGAAUUCCUCCUCCUAAUCCUCCUUGAAUCGUCUUACCCAUCUUUUCUUUGCUCAACUUCUCUGCUCUAAUUCUCUCUCUCGGCCUUUCUUUCUCACCACCCUCUCCUUCAUACUGCCCUUCUUU
rnacentral:lncRNA from 1 species